rnacentral:rRNA from 1 species
CUACGGGGGGCACCAGUGGGGAAUCUUAGACAAUGGGCGCAAGCCUGAUCUAGCCAUGCCGCGUGAGCGAUGAAGGCCUUAGGGUUGUAAAGCUCUUUCAGCGAGGAAGAUAAUGACUGUACUCGCAGAAGAAGCCCCGGCUAACUCCGUGCCAGCAGCCGCGGUAAUACGGAGGGGGCUAGCGUUGUUCGGAAUUACUGGGCGUAAAGCGCACGUAGGCGGAUCAGAAAGUCAGAGGUGAAAUCCCAGGGCUCAACCUUGGAACUGCCUUUGAAACUCCUGAUCUUGAGUUCGAGAGAGGUGAGUGGAAUUCCGAGUGUGGAGGUGAAAUUCGUAGAUAUUCGGAGGAACACCAGUGGCGAAGGCGGCUCACUGGCUCGAUACUGACGCUGAGGUGCGAAAGCGUGGGGAGCAAACAGGAUUAGAUACCCUCGUAGUC